AUGGGAAUAUAGUAUUUGUGCACAAAGUAUGUAACACACAGAAGGAAACGUUUCCGACCCCAUAAAGUAUAUAUAUUCUUGAUCAGCAUCAAUAGUCGAGUCGAUAGAGCCAUGUCUGUCUGUCCGUCUGUCCGUCCUGAUGAGCGCCUAGUCCUCAGAGACUAUAAGAGCUAGAGCCACCAAAUUUAGCAUCCAGAUUUCUGUAUGCUCACACUGUUACAAGUAUAUAGCGAAAACCUCCCAAAAAACGCCAUUCCGUAGGAAAUGACCAUAUCUAUCGGAUCACCAAAUUGGGAUUCGAUUGGAUCAUUAUUAUAGCCACACUGAAGAAAUUAACUUCCAGCUUUUGUUGUUUUUUUCACAUUCUCUCAUUUACACUCUGCUUCGGCCUCUGCCGCGAGUCUGCAGUGUGUGGGUCUACGGAAGGGGGGCGAGCUAAAGGAGCGUGUUGGUGUGAGAAGUGUUGUAGAUGUAGAUAGCAGAUGAAGAAACAAUUUAAAAUUUGACAAAACACCGCUAAGGUGCAGAUGUAGUACUGAGUGCCGGGUAUAAAAGUUGUGACGCGUAAGAAGCGUCGCACACGUCCUUUCUCGUUAUUUUUUAUAAUUGUGGUGGUUCUACAAAGAACCAAGUAAGAUCUAGUCAACUACGCACAUAUGUAUGAAUUUUCAGUUUUUAAAGUGUAAAUUAAAAAUUAUUCAACCUAGUCGGAGUUUAUAGUACAACGUUCCAAAAAUACAUCAAAUCUUUAAUCAGAUUUAACAGUUUACGUAACAUUAAAGAAGGAUUCAUUUUAGCUUCGUUGCCAGUUAAAUGUUCUUUAUUUUCUAAAGCAAUUUUCCUUAAAACUGAACAUGGUUUUAGUGAGGGUAUUUGCACAUAAUAACUGAAUUAUACCUACAAUGUUUGAGGACAGAUGCUUUUAAAAAAAAGGAAAACAACAAAAUCAAAACACACACGCACACACCCACACAAACCGAAGCAAGUUAGUUAGUUGAAACAUACAUUAAUUUAAAUAAACAAUUCUGAAUAAAAAUAUACAUUUCAAAUGUUGCCAAAUUGUUGAAAAGAACGAAGAAAGAAAACCCCAAAAAAGAUAAACGAAAGCACACACGGUACCCACACUUGUACAUAGAAAAAUACACAAACCGAAUAAAAAACAAAAAAAAAACCAAUGCAAAUGCAAUUGUAAAUUAUGUACUCGUUAUAAGCUAAACAAAUGAUUGCUCAUUUGUAAUGAAAUAUGGACAUUAAGCAAUUUAUAAUAAAAAAGGAUACUCAUGGCCAGAAAAUAAAGAGAGACAGAAUGAGGAAAAAAGAAAGCGCUAUGUCGGCACUAAUCAAAAACCAAUUAAAGAAUACAUAUAAAAUCUGCAUAGAAAAAAUGAGAAGUAAAGAAUAGAAAAGAUACCCCCCAGACGGAGAGAGAGAGUUGAGAGUUGGUUGGCCAAAUUCGUAUUGAUUGAAGCAUAUUUAUAUAUCCAUUUAAGCCCGGAAUUAAAGCCCAGAUGCCAACCAUAAGUAAAACUAUGUUCUAAGUUAUACAUAUACAUAAAAACGUACAUACACAUGAAUAUACAUUUAAAUACCAUAUAUCAUAGGCUUUAGUUGUGUUUCUUAGCGUUAAGAGUGAUAAUGUACAUUUAAUGAUAUUAGGGUUCCCUCAAAAUCCUCCAUCCUCCUUCCCUCCCCUGCCGCUAGGAACAGACGGAGCGGGGAGAAAAAAUGCAAGUGAAAGAGAGAGAGGAAGAUAGAGAAAGAGAGAGAGAGAGAGAGAGAGAGAGAGAAAGAACACAAAUAAAAUAUCUAUUUGGGAUUGCUUCAUAUGAA
rnacentral:lncRNA from 1 species